rnacentral:misc_RNA from 1 species
GAAAGUUGGUUGAAUGGAAAAGGCGUUGGAUAUCGCUUGGUAUCAAAUGUAUUUUUUACAAGUUUUACUGUUCAUCUCAAGCUCUUUUUAGUCUCUGCAAUUGGUCAUCUUACAAAGCAAGUUCCAGCACAGCACAGUAGAAGUUUGUAUGAAUGGCAGAGUGUUUUGUGGUUUACAGUUCGGAGUACUUUGUGGUUUACAGUUCUUACAGAACUGAGCCAGGGUUACGAGGAUUAUGAGAGCUAUGAGGAUUAUGCUAAGGACAGCUUUGAUAGUACUAUAAGUGAUGAAUCUGAAAUGACAAUGAUUGUUGUAGAAGUAAAUAUAGUUAUAGAAGUGAAUAAAUUAAAUCCACGUCUGACAUCUCGUUUGUAUUUAAAUAAAGUAAGGAAAACCAACGAGAUUACAAAUGGAGCCCCCAGUGAGGAAUCGUGUGUAGAAGUUCAAAAUCGGGCGUGGUGACUAUUCAUAGAUACAUUUUCAGUAUAAUUUAGCUGUGCAGAAACUUUUCAGUUAAGUAAGCUAGUAUUUUCAACGAAUGGUCUACAAAGAAGUAUUAUACUUUGUUAAAACGUUUAGUACCGAACGACUCGAGUGCAAGACGGCAACAGACAAACUGUAAUUUGCUGUGUGGUUUAAGUCCAAUUACGAAAUUCUAGUGUCAUGAACAAGAAAAAAAUUUGAGGACAAAUUUUCAGUCAAGAGGCCAGAGGAGAAUAAACAGUGUUUAAUUUAGAGAUAACCUCAAACUAUUUUGUGUUUAACAGUAUUUUUAUAUAACUUAUUUUACUAGUUGUGUACAAACAUUUACAUUUAGUAUAUAGAUACACCUGGAUGUGGGUAUACAACAGGCGAUACAGAAAUCUACAGCUUACAAAACGGUGUGACAGUUACAGACGAUACAGUGCAUAAACUCUCAAGUGAAACAGUUACAGAACUUUGACAGUUACUUAUUAUAUUUAGCAGCCAGUGGUCCAUAUAUUGUGUUAUAGGUGCGAACUAAGCCAAAUUCCU